UGAAUGUAAGCUAAUGUUUAUAUUUUGGAAGAUGUAAGCUUUAUAUUAUGUUUAGAAGCUUAAUGUAUAAUCAAAUUGUAUUAUGAAGGCUGAAUGAAUGUAAUAGAUAGAUGUUCCUCUCUUUAUCAUUACUUGUAUGUUCUAUACUUGUAUCUUGCUCUUGGUCGUUUUGCACUGAUUGUGCUCUCGUUGUAGUUAUCGAUUGUGUAUGUAUUCAAGUUAUUUU
rnacentral:lncRNA from 1 species